rnacentral:rRNA from 1 species
AGGAUGAACGCUGGCGGCGUGCUUAACACAUGCAAGUCGAACGAUGAAGGCUGGAGCUUGCUCUGGCUGGAUUAGUGGCGAACGGGUGAGUAACACGUGAGUAACCUGCCCCAGACUCUGGGAUAAGCGCUGGAAACGGCGCCUAAUACCGGAUACGAGCUUCCACCGCAUGGUGAGGAGCUAGGAAAGUAA